GACGAACGCUGGCGGCGUGCUUAACACAUGCAAGUCGAACGGAAAGGCCCUGCUUUUGUGGGGUGCUCGAGUGGCGAACGGGUGGGUAACACGUGAGUAACCUGCCCUUGACUUUGGGAUAACUUCAGGAAACUGGGGCUAAUAACGGAUAGGAGCUCCUGCUGCAUGGUGGGGGUUGGAAAGUUUCGGCGGUUGGGGAUGGACUCGCGGCUUAUCAGCUUGUUGGUGGGGUAGUGGCUUACCAAGGCUUUGACGGGUAGCCGGCCUGAGAGGGUGACCGGCCACAUUGGGACUGAGAUACGGCCCAGACUCCUACGGGAGGCAGCAGUGGGGAAUAUUGCACAAUGGGCGGAAGCCUGAUGCAGCAACGCCGCGUGCGGGAUGACGGCCUUCGGGUUGUAAACCGCUUUCGCCUGUGACGAAGCGUGAGUGACGGUAAUGGGUAAAGAAGCACCGGCUAACUACGUG
rnacentral:rRNA from 1 species